AUGUGAGGAUGGUAUACAGU
rnacentral:piRNA from 1 species